rnacentral:rRNA from 1 species
UACGUAGGGGGCAAGCGUUAUCCGGAUUUACUGGGUGUAAAGGGAGCGUAGACGGUGAGACAAGUCUGAAGUGAAAGCCCGGGGCUCAACCCCGGGACUGCUUUGGAAACUGCCUGACUGGAGUGCUGGAGAGGCAAGCGGAAUUCCUAGUGUAGCAGUGAAAUGCGUAGAUAUUAGGAAGAACACCAGUGGCGAAGGCGGCUUGCUGGACAGUAACUGACGUUGAGGCUCGAAAGCGUGGGGAGCAAACAGG